UACGUAGGUGGCAAGCGUUGUCCGGAAUUAUUGGGCGUAAAGCGCGCGCAGGCGGUCCUUUAAGUCUGAUGUGAAAGCCCACGGCUCAACCGUGGAGGGUCAUUGGAAACUGGAGGACUUGAGUACAGAAGAGGAAAGCGGAAUUCCACGUGUAGCGGUGAAAUGCGUAGAGAUGUGGAGGAACACCAGUGGCGAAGGCGGCGACCUGGGCCAAUAUUGACGCUGAGGUGCGAAAGCGUGGGGAGCAAACAGG
rnacentral:rRNA from 1 species